UUAACUAUAUAUUUGUAGAAUUGAAUAAGUCAUUAUAUGUUAUCUCUUCUAAGAAAGUAAUUCCCAUUGACGUUUUGUUUAAGAAUUGUAUCAUUUUAGAUAAGAAAGCUAGGGCUAAUGAAAAUAGGUCUAAAGUAUAAUAAAGAUAAUAUGAAGAUUAGACAUCCUCACUUGUUAAAGAAUGAAGGUACAACAAGUUUCCAGGACGAAUUUUUUUUUAAAGGAAAUAGAAUGUGCUAGCCUGGUCC
rnacentral:lncRNA from 1 species